rnacentral:rRNA from 1 species
CUAAGUAUAUAAAGAAACUAUUAUGGAUAUAUAGCUAUAUAUCACAGAAGAACAAAUGAAGAGGUAAGAUGUAUUUUCUUACCCGCCUAUUUAGUGGGGCCUUGGUUAUAACCUAAUUGGAUUCUAGGAAAAAUCCGGUUUUUAGACAAAGUGAAUUGAAAUAUCUUAGUAACUUUAGAAAUCAAAAUCAAAUGAGAUUCUUUAUGUGUAAAGAAAAGCUUUUAAAGUAAAAUGGAAAAAAAAAAUCUGUUUGAAUAUAGGGAAACCUUUCUCUAAAGCUAAAUAUGAUAUAUAAGCAAUAGUGGAAAGUACCGUGAGGGAAAUAUUUGAAAUAGUAGUUUUAUAAGCAGCUCAAAUUAAUAUUAAAAAUAUAACAAGAGCGUACCUUUUGCAUAAUGGGUCAGCAAGUUAAUAUUAGAUGCAAGAUGUAAUGCUGAAUAAAAAAAAACAUCCUAGGUAAAGCAAUUAUUAACUAAUAAUUAAGUAUCUAAUAUUAGACCCGAAGCCUAGUGAUCUUACCAUGAUCAGAGUUAUAAAAGCUCGAACGGGUUAUCGUUGUAAAGAUAUCCGAAGAAUUGUGGUAAGUAAGUGAAAGACAAAACUGACUAGGAUAGCUGGUUUUCUGCGAAACCUAUAUAAGUAGGGGGUUUAAGCGCGUCACUUUGUGUGAGCGACAUAUCAUUGCAGGUAUAGAAUUGUGAUCUCAGACAAGUUAUGAUUUAUAUCAUUUUGUAUACAUUGGGGGAUCGUGAAGAUUUUAUCAGUGAGAAUUUGCUCUCAGAAGGGCAAUGAUAAAUUUUAAACUAUCGGACAUAGUACGAUAAGGUUGUAUGUCUAAAGGGAAACAGCCCAGAACAAGAGUUAAGGUUCCAAAAUUAUUGUUAAGUGAAAAAAAAGGAAGUAUUUUUCUAAUACAACCAGGAAAUAGGCUUAGAAGCGGCCAUUUUUUUAAGACCUCGUAACAGAGCACUGGUUUAAUUUUCUUUGGAAGCGCAAGCUUUUAAGAAAAACAGUUAAAAGCAUCAAAAAUUUAACGGAUCUAAACAAUAUACCUAAACCUUGUCCAUAAACAAUUGUUUGUGGGGUAGCAGAACAUUGGGUAAAUCUUAGAUUUAAUUUUUUCAAAAUUAGUUAAGCUUACAUCUAAUACAAAAGAUUACACGCUCACUUCAUUUUUUUUUUCUUGCAAAGCAUGAAAAAAAGACAAAGUCUGUGAAGCGUUUGAUUUAAUAGAUGAUUUAAGUGAGAUUACCCCAAGAGAUAAUGCUGACAUGAGUAACGAAAAAGGGACAUCCCCUCGCCUUAAGCUUAUGGUAUUUAAUUUAAAGUAACGGCCUCUAAGUUUAUUUAAACGACCUAAAGGAUUAAAUGAUGAGAAAAUCUUUAAGUAUAUCUAACAACAUUCCAAAAAAAGUUAAUGUAUUAACCUUUUGGUUAAGGAAUGUUCUGGAAAAAGAUAUAUAUGUUAUUAACCGUACCUAAAUACUACCACAAGUAAGCAAGUAGAGUAUACAAAGGCGUUUGAGUUAACAAUCAUUAAGGAACUCGGCAAAAUGACUCCGUAACUUCGGGAUAUGGUGUGCCAUUAUUGUUUAUUUAUAAAAUGAUAAGAGGAGACAUAAAAUGGUGUUGUACGACUGUUUAAUUAAAACAAAGCACUUUGCAUAAGAUGUAAAAUCAAAGUAUUGAGUGUGAUUUCUGCCCAAUGUUGGCUGGUUAACGGAUUUUUUUAGUUAACAAUAACGAGAUUUUGAAGGAAACCCCAAUCAAUGGCGGCCUUAACUCUGAGGGUCCUAAGGUAGCGGAAUACCUUGGCCGUUAAAUGCGGUCUUGCAUGAAUGAUUUAACGAUACAACAGCUGUCUCAAUGAUUGUCUCAGUGAAAUUGGAAUAACUGUGCAGAUACAGUUUUCUUCUAGUUAGACGAGAAGACCCUAUGCAGCUUUACUAUUGCUAGUUAUUGGACAUGAUAAAACAAGUUGUAGUGUAUAAGGUAGUUGAUUAAAUAUAAUUGAAACACCUUUACUUAGUUUGUCAUGUAUAUUGUUUGAGUUAAAUAUAGCGCUCUGCUAUGCGAAGCAAGUAAUUAUAUAUUAACUCACCCAUUUUUCUUUUAAUGGGUUCAAAAUGACUAAUAGCUUAUUCUUAAAGUUAAAUAAGAUAUUUAAAGAAAACAUUUGCUAGUGGAUAGUUUAUGCGGGGCACAGAUCCCAUAAAAAGUACCUGGGUAUAUCUAAAGUUAAUUUUGUAAAUUUGUUCAAUCUUUGUAUUAUCUAAGGUUAACGACUCAUACAGUACAAAUCAUAUUGAUUAUACUAUAUGUUUUUAUUUUAAUUUGUAAUAAUUUUCUUUUAUUCAAUUAUAUUUCUAUUAAGUUAGAUUUAUUAUAUUUUUUAGGUAAGAUUUUAACUAUAUGGAAAAUAGAGGUAAAAAGUUGUAGUACGAAAUUUCUACUACAUACUUAUCAUUAUAUUCUCUUGUUCUAGGGUAAAGAAAAGGAAGUAUACGCUAUCGUUUAACAGUCAUUCUCAACCUAGAACAACUAUAAUGAUGUGAAUUACUUCAAAAGCUUAAUGGCUUAAUCUUGCUUUACUGUUUGACUUACAUGUCUAUCAGUCGCGUAAGCGGGGCAUAUGAUCACAAGAUGCAUAAAGGAAAGGUCUUGGGUUAUUGAAAAAGCUACGCUAGGGAUAACAGGCUAAUUGCGCCAGAGAGUACAAAUUGAGUGCGCAGUUUGGCACCUCGAUGUCGGCUUAGCUCAUCCACAUGAAUGUAGGAGUCAUGAAGGGUUCGACUGUUCGUCGAUUAAAGAGCUACACGAGCUGGGUUAAAUACGUCGUGAGACAGUAUGGU